rnacentral:rRNA from 1 species
AUUGAACGCUGGCGGCAGGCCUAACACAUGCAAGUCGAACGAGCGGCGGACGGGUGAGUAAUGUAUGGGGACUGCCCGAUAGAGGGGGAUAACUACUGGAAACGGUAGCUAAUACCGCAUACUAUCGGAUAACCCAUAUGGGAUGAGCUAGUAGGGGAGGUAAUGACUCACCUAGGCGACGAUCCCUAGCUGGUCUGAGAGGAUGAUCAGCCACAUUGGGACUUAGACACGGCCCAGACUCCUACGGAGGCAGCAGUGGGGAAUAUUGCACAAUGGGCGCAAGCCUGAUGCAGCCAUGCCGCGUGUAUGAAGAAGGCCCUCGGGUUGUAAAGUACUUUCAGUCGGGAGGCGUUACCGACAGAAGAAGCACCGGCUAACUCCGUGCCAGCAGCCGCGGUAAUUC